AUCCAGCUGAUGAGUCCCAAAUAGGAUGAAACUCACGUUCUUGAU
rnacentral:hammerhead_ribozyme from 1 species